rnacentral:tRNA from 1 species
GGUAUAUAGCUCAGUUGGUAGAGUGCUUUUUUCACAGGCACAAGGCUCUGGGUUCAACCCCCAGCACCA